rnacentral:rRNA from 1 species
CGGCGGACGGGUGAGUAACGCGUGGGCAACCUGCCUCAUACAGGGGGAUAACAGUUAGAAAUGACUGCUAAUACCGCAUAAGCGCACAGGACCGCAUGGUGUAGUGUGAAAAACUCCGGUGGUAUGAGAUGGACCCGCGUCUGAUUAGGUAGUUGGUGGGGUAAAGGCCUACCAAGCCGACGAUCAGUAGCCGACCUGAGAGGGUGACCGGCCACAUUGGGACUGAGGCACGGCCCAA